rnacentral:lncRNA from 1 species
GGAGGUUCAAGGGAGCUGGUGGAGAUCAAGAGGUAAGGGUUGUAAAGGAACUUAUGAUCUGAUCCUUAAACUAGAGGAUUUGGUAUGCUAGGGAUCCUCAGACUCAAUCGCUGAAGGGUUCCCAAGUUUACACAUACACCCUCGGGUUGAAGAAAAAGAUCACAGCCGAGCCCUCGGGCGAGGCGGAUAGGGGUCGGCGGAACAGGUAGGGUCGGGCGAGAUGGAACCGGGGUCGGGCGGAUAAGAGGGGUCGGGCGAAGCGGACAGGGG